rnacentral:lncRNA from 1 species
ACUAGUUAGAUGCUAUAGUAUUCUCAUUGCAGAUUCAGAGGCUCUUUUACACCCUCAUAUUGUCAAAUACAUUUUCUAGAGAAAUAUCUCUUACACCAUCUUCACCAGACAGACCAUAAUUCUUUUAUAAAUGUGUACCACUUUUUCCCUCAUCAUCACUACAUUCUUUUAUCAAGAAAGGAAUGCCUUGAGCACUAAUUACACCCUUUUCUCAAUCUUUCAAAUUAUACUCCAUUUAUAUUUACAAAAAUAAUAUGUAUCACUAACUAAAUACGAAAAUAAUAAUAUGAACACCUUGUUGAGCAUAAUGUGACAAGCAAGAAAAUAUUAAAUUGAUUCAAAGAGUCAUUUGAGGCGUUUUGUCGAGCACAUUACGAGCAGCCUUUAUGUCUCUUCAUUGACAACAACCUACGGCCUAUACGUCUCUCUAAAUUAACCGAACGACAUAAAUUAUCACCAAACAGAAGUAAAACACAAACAAAAAAUUAAUCAUGAGAAUUAAGUGUUAAAAUUAAAAUAUAGUAUUCGAUGAAUCAUACAUAAAAAUCACACACUCUAAAUUCACAGUCUUCAUGCACGUUAAAAAAAAAAAAUUAAAGUUCGUAUGUCACAAAAUUCAUCAGUUGUGCAAUAUAAUUUGGGUUAAAAAUUUACCUAUUUUCUAGCCUAAUGCUCCGGGAUUCUAAAGCUUCCCUUGUUGCAGAUUCCUGCGUGUUGUAGAAAUAAAAGAGGAAAGUUCAGGUUUGAAGAUUGAAGAAGCUUCAGAUUUGAAGAUUGAGAAAGCUUCAGAUUUGGAGAUUGAAGAACCUUCAGAUUGAGGAAGCUUAACGAAAGAGGAACCGAGGAAUGGAAGCUUAUCGUAUAUAAGCUUCGGAUUCUGCUAGGUGCGUAACAGAGAGAAAGGAAGAAGCUUGAUGAAGGUUCACAUUUUUUGGUUCGAGCUUCGACAGCUUCUACGCGUAUACAUAUUUAAAGGUGUUAAUUGUUUGAACAGUGUGG